rnacentral:tRNA from 1 species
GCGGAAGUGUCGGAAUUGGCAGACGAGCUAGACUAAGGAUCUAGUGCCAGCGAUGGCGUACGGGUUCAAGUCCCGUCUUCCGCA